rnacentral:ncRNA from 1 species
GGAAGUCCGGUGCGAAUCCGGCGCGGUCCCGCCACUGUCACCGGGGAGCACGAACGCCCACUCGGUGAUCCGGGAGCCAGGAGAC